rnacentral:rRNA from 1 species
CAGCAGCCGCGGUAAUACGAAGGGGGCUAGCGUUGCUCGGAAUGACUGGGCGUAAAGGGCGCGUAGGCGGUCACGAUGGUCAGAUGUGAAAUUCCUGGGCUUAACCUGGGGACUGCAUUUGAUACUGUGUGGCUUGAGUGUGGAAGAGGGUCGUGGAAUUCCCAGUGUAGAGGUGAAAUUCGUAGAUAUUGGGAAGAACACCGGUGGCGAAGGCGGCGACCUGGUCCAUAACUGACGCUGAGGCGCGAAAGCGUGGGGAGCAAAUGGGAUUAGAUACCCCCGUAGUCCCUGUCUCUUAUAC